rnacentral:tRNA from 1 species
GGGGUCUUAACUCAGUGGUAGAGUGCUCGCCUCGUGUGUGGGAGGCACUGGGUUUGAUCCUCAGUACCACA